GUUGACCUCGAAUCAGGUAGGACUACCCGCUGAACUUAAGCAUAUCAAUAAGCGGAGGAAAAGAAACCAACAGGGAUUGCCCCAGUAACGGCGAGUGAAGCGGCAACAGCUCAAAUUUGAAAUCUGGCUCUCAGGGCCCGAGUUGUAAUUUGUAGAGGAUGCUUUUGGCGAGGUGCCUUCCGAGUUCCCUGGAACGGGACGCCACAGAGGGUGAGAGCCCCGUAUGGUCGGACACCGAGCCUCUGUAAAGCUCCUUCGACGAGUCGAGUAGUUUGGGAAUGCUGCUCAAAAUGGGAGGUAUAUGUCUUCUAAAGCUAAAUAUUGGCCAGAGACCGAUAGCGCACAAGUAGAGUGAUCGAAAGAUGAAAAGCACUUUGAAAAGAGGGUUAAAAAGUACGUGAAAUUGUUGAAAGGGAAGCGCCUAUGACCAGACUUGCGCCCGGUGAAUCACCCAGCGUUCUCGCUGGUGCACUUUGCCGGGCACAGGCCAGCAUCAGUUCAGCGCGGGGGAGAAAGGCUUCGGGAAUGUGGCUCCCUCGGGAGUGUUAUAGCCCGCUGCGUAAUGCCCUGCGCCGGACUGAGGUACGCGCAUUGCAAGGAUGCUGGCGUAAUGGUCAUCAGCGACCCGUCUUGAAACACGGACCAAGGAGUCGUCUUCGUAUGCGAGUGUUCGGGUGUCAAACCCCUACGCGUAAUGAAAGUGAACGUAGGUGAGAGCUUCGGCGCAUCACCGACCGAUCCUGAUGUUCUCGGAUGGAUUUGAGUAAGAGCAUACGGGGCCGGACCCGAAAGAAGGUGAACUAUGCCUGUAUAGGGUGAAGCCAGAGGAAACUCUGGUGGAGGCUCGCAGCGGUUCUGACGUGCGAAUCGAUCGUCAAAUAUGGGCAUGGGGGCGAAAGACUAAUCGAACCUUCUAGUAGCUGGUUUCCGCCGAAGUUUCCCUCAGGAUAGCAGUGUUGAA
rnacentral:rRNA from 1 species